CCUACGGGAGGCAGCAGUGAGGAAUAUUGGUCAAUGGGCGCGAGCCUGAACCAGCCAAGUCGCGUGAGGGAAGACGGCCCUACGGGUUGUAAACCUCUUUUGCCGGGGAGCAACUGGCGCCACGUGUGGCGCCACUGAGAGUACCCUGCGAAAAAGCAUCGUCAAACGCCGUUCCGGCAGACGCGGUACUACGGAGGAUUCGAGCGUUAUCCGGAUUUAUUGGGUUUAAGGGGUGCGUAGGCGGAGCGUUAAGUCAGUGGUCAAAUUGAGGGGCUCAACCCCUUCCCGCCAUUGAAACUGGCGCUCUUGAGUGGAAGAGAAGUAUGCGGAAUGCGUGGUGUAGCGGUGAAAUGCAUAGAUAUCACGCAGAACCCCGAUUGCGAAGGCAGCAUGCCGGCUUCCUACUGACGCUGAAGCACGAAAGCGUGGGGAUCGAACAGGAUUAGAUACCCGAGUAGUC
rnacentral:rRNA from 1 species